GAUGAAGAACGUAGCAAAAUGCGAUACUUGGUGUGAAUUGCAGAAUCCCGUGAACCAUCGAGUUUUUGAACGCAAGUUGCGCCCGAAGCCUUUUGGCUGAGGGCACGUCUGCCUGGGCGUCACGCAUCGCGUCGCCCCCCAUAAUUCUCCGUAAAGGGAACAUGUGUUUUGGGGGCGGAUAUUGGUCUCCCGUGCUCAUGGCGUGGUUGGCCGAAAUAGGAGUCCUUUCGAUGGACGCACGAACUAGUGGUGGUAGUAAAAACCCUCGUCUUUUGUUUCGUGCUGUUGCUCGCAAGGUAAACUCUUUAAAAACCCCAAUGUGCCGUCUCUUGACGACGCUUCGACCGCGACCCCAGGUCAGGCGGGACUACCCGCUGAGUUUAAGCAUAUCAAUAAGCGGAGGA
rnacentral:misc_RNA from 1 species